UUUCGGCAUUGUGCACUGCACUCCCUUGCAAAGUCGCGCACGUCACCGCGGCGGGCGGCCGUUUCGUCUUUCUCGGCCGCUGCCUUCCUUUCUGGACUGACCGACCAGACCAACCUGUCAAAAAACGGCCAUCAUCAUUCUGCAUUCGAGAUCGUCGCCGUCGGUUGUUCGUUCCGCCGCAGCAGCAGUUUCCUUCAUCAUUGCUCGUUUUAGUGGUGGCCGUGUGACCGUCCGUCCGUCCGUUCCUUCGGUUCUGGCAGUAAUCGGUUCGCGACGGGAAUUAUGUGGAAGGUAAUGUGAAACUAGCAGUGAUUGUGUCCAGCGUACUAGAAUCGGAUUUUCCGAUGGGUGUUGUGGUGGCGCUACGCGAUGGCCAUCAGCCAAUAUAAAUUUGCUGUAUGAUGGUGGGUUGCUUGCAUCAGUGAAGAAAAAAUAUUGCAGUGUUUUCCUCCUGCGGGGCGCGUCCAGUUCAGCCUCGAAGUGAAACUAGUUCAAAGAAGUUCUUUCUCGGAGUUGUGAGGAAAAAGUUUAUCUAUACGUGGGCGGUGAGGAAAACCAGAAUAUUGGGGAUCGGAAAAUUUGAGUGGAAGUACCUGUCUAGUGGCGCAGAAGGUUUGACACCGAUCGAGAAGCAUUAAAAAAACACGGAGAAGCUAAUCUGAAGUGAUUAUUCAGACAAAUCUGAAGAAGAAACUACAAAAAGGCUAGAAGAAUCCAAGAAGAAUCAAAAGUGAUAGUGAUUCUCACACAGCCUACUUAUACUGAGAAGCUCCGUGGAAGCUGAUGUGGUGUGAUGUGACACACGAAAGAAAUGAGAGGCGUUAGGCAAUCGCAACCGCAGCAACAACAACAAAAACAACAGCAACGUGCAUUUCGAUUUCGCGCAGCAGCCUACUACCAUGGGAAUGGGGCGAGAAUUCCCCCUAUUAGCGUGUGAUAACGACGAUAUGUGAUGAUAGUUUGCCGCAUCGUACAGGAAACGGCAAACGAAGAAGAAGAAGAAGAAGCAGAAAGAAGGGAAGUGUGUGGAAGUGUAAAUGCAGUUAUCGUCGUCACCCGCCCUCUGUCGGCCUUCCUGUCUGCGCCAGUAGUGUAUGUGUGAGGGGAUUGAUAGUGAAAUUCGGGGCGUCGUCGUGCAGUGAGUGCGCUGGGGAUCAAGUGUUGUGGGGGUUUGGACUAAGGAAGAGAUCUACAAGAAGGAGGAGGAAGAGUAGGAGUUGCAGGAGGAGUUGAACAAACAACCGUAGUAGUGACGGAUCGAACAAAGUGGAAGCUGCAAAAUGACGGUGGAUUUUAACGAUUACUUUUGG